CCUACGGGUGGCUGCAGUGGGGAAUAUUGGACAAUGGGCGAAAGCCUGAUCCAGCCAUGCCGCGUGUGUGAAGAAGGCCUUCGGGUUGUAAAGCACUUUCAGUGGGGAAGAAAGCCUUGGGGCUAAUACCCUCGAGGAAGGACAUCACCCACAGAAGAAGCACCGGCUAACUCCGUGCCAGCAGCCGCGGUAAUACGGAGGGUGCGAGCGUUAAUCGGAAUUACUGGGCGAAAAGCGCGCGUAGGCGGUCUGAUAAGCCGGUUGUGAAAGCCCCGGGCUCAACCUGGGAACGGCAUCCGGAACUGUCAGGCUAGAGUGCAGGAGAGGAAGGUAGAAUUCCCGGUGUAGCGGUGAAAUGCGUAGAGAUCGGGAGGAAUACCAGUGGCGAAGGCGGCCUUCUGGACUGACACUGACGCUGAGGUGCGAAAGCGUGGGUAGCAAACAGGAUUAGAUACCCGUGUAGUC
rnacentral:rRNA from 1 species